GAAUAUUGGACAAUGGGGGGAACCCUGAUCCAGCCAUGCCGCGUGUGUGAUGAAGGCCUUUUGGUUGUAAAGCACUUUAAGCGAGGAGGAGGCUACUUUAGUUAAUACCUAGUGAUAGUGGACGUUUCUUGCAGAAUAAGCCCCGGCUAACCUUGUUCCAGCAGCCGCGGUAAUACAGAGGGUGCAAGCGUUAAUCGGAUUUACUGGGCGUAAAGCGCGCGUAGGUGGCCAAUUAAGUCAAAUGUGAAAUCCCCGAGCUUAACUUGGGAAUUGCAUUCGAUACUGGUUGGCUAGAGUAUGGGAGAGGAUGGUAGAAUUCCAGGUGUAGCGGUGAAAUGCGUAGAGAUCUGGAGGAAUACCGAUGGCGAAGGCAGCCAUCUGGCCUAAUACUGACACUGAGGUGCGAAAGCUUGGGGAGCAAACAG
rnacentral:rRNA from 1 species